rnacentral:rRNA from 1 species
AUACAGAGGGUGCAAGCGUUAUUCGGAAUUACUGGGCGUCAAGCGCGCGUAGGCGGAUGAUUAAGUCAGUUGUGAAAGCCCUGGGCUCAACCUAGGAACUGCAUCUGAUAUUGGUCAUCUAGAGUUUAAGAGAGGGAAGUGGAAUUCCAGGUGUAGCAGUGAAAUGCGUAGAUAUCUGGAGGAACAUCAGUGGCGAAGGCGACUUCCUGGCUUAAAACUGACGCUGAGGUGCGAAAGCGUGGGUAGCGAACGGGAUUAGAAACCCUAGUAGUCC